AUGUGAUCUUUAUUUUAAGAUGGGACAGGCGCGAUGGUGCCCGGCGUUGCGCCGUUGCUGCGAUGGCGGACACCAAGGCCAUGUGCCCUGCUUUCCAUGCCGCCAACAAUGGCGUCAUGUUCGCUGCCAAAGUUGCCUUCCUCAUCCCCGCAGGUUCACCACCUACGCGAUAUUUGGUGUCAUCAGUUGACACGGAGCUGAGGUGCUCUUAAAAUUUCUGGUCUACUGGUGCCAAGGUCAUGGGAAACCUCUCCCCUGAGCUUCGAUGUCUCCCGUCCCCUGGCGAGAGAAGUGCCGCCUUAUUAUCCAGAGUAGGUAAAGCUUGCUCCUUCCGUUGUGUGAAUCCUGUCAAGAUCCAGCUGUUCUUAUUCAGAAGCACGCCCUGAGGCCCUUUGUACUUAACCUGACAAGAGCGGUAAGGAAUUAUCUAGAAAAUGGCUGGUCGGUACUUGGCGGGCAGCAGCAGAAGAGCGUAGAAUGUGAAGGCUAGGAGCAAGUGCUGGCAAGAAAACAUAGUACUUGUGAGUUCUCUUCGGUCUGCUUAUGCAUGUUUUUAAGACUGAUGGCCAGAUCAGUGCAAAUUUAAGGAGAUGAAUGUAGUCCUGCGUUGAUGGUUCCCAUGAGGCCAGUUAGCAAAUCGGAAGGCUGGGAUAAAGCCAUCAGAUAUGAUAGAGGAUGCAUUAUAUCCUGCUUCAAGGUCUGAAAGAAGAGCUGACAAGGAAUCUUGGUGUAAGCAGUCAUCUUUUGGACUAUUUCCUUGUUGUUUCUUCGUAAAUUUCGUGAAAUAUCAUGUCGAGCUUGUAUCAUUAUAGCCGACUACCUAAUUUUGUUUGUUCUAUAUAAUUCCAUGUGACA